UGCCGGGUCGCCUUGUGGAAGAACAACUGACUUUGACUCAGUCAAUGCUGGUUCGAUCCCAGCCCCGGCAUCCA
rnacentral:tRNA from 1 species